GAUGAACGCUGGCGGCGUGCCUAAUACAUGCAAGUCGAGCGAACAGACGAGGAGCUUGCUCCUCUGACGUUAGCGGCGGACGGGUGAGUAACACGUGGAUAACCUACCUAUAAGACUGGGAUAACUUCGGGAAACCGGAGCUAAUACCGGAUAAUAUAUUGAACCGCAUGGUUCAAUAGUGAAAGACGGUUUUGCUGUCACUUAUAGAUGGAUCCGCGCCGCAUUAGCUAGUUGGUAAGGUAACGGCUUACCAAGGCAACGAUGCGUAGCCGACCUGAGAGGGUGAUCGGCCACACUGGAACUGAGACACGGUCCAGACUCCUACGGGAGGCAGCAGUAGGGAAUCUUCCGCAAUGGGCGAAAGCCUGACGGAGCAACGCCGCGUGAGUGAUGAAGGUCUUCGGAUCGUAAAACUCUGUUAUUAGGGAAGAAAAAAUGUGUAAGUAACUAUGCACGUCUUGACGGUACCUAAUCAGAAAGCCACGGCUAACUACGU
rnacentral:rRNA from 1 species